AACGGGUGGUAAUGCCGGAUGCUCCAUCACACCGCAUGGUGUGUUGGGAAAGCCUUUGCGGCAUGGGAUGGGGUCGCGUCCUAUCAGCUUGAUGGCGGGGUAACGGCCCACCAUGGCUUCGACGGGUAGCCGGCCUGAGAGGGCGACCGGCCACAUUGGGACUGAGAUACGGCCCAGACUCCUACGGGAGGCAGCAGUGGGGAAUAUUGCACAAUGGGCGCAAGCCUGAUGCAGCGACGCCGCGUGAGGGAUGGAGGCCUUCGGGUUGUAAACCUCUUUUGUUAGGGAGCAAGGCAUUUUGUGUUGAGUGUACCUUUCGAAUAAGCACCGGCUAACUACGUGCCAGCAGCCGCGGUAAUACGUAGGGUGCAAGCGUUAUCCGGAAUUAUUGGGCGUAAAGGGCUCGUAGGCGGUUCGUCGCGUCCGGUGUGAAAGUCCAUCGCUUAACGGUGGAUCCGCGCCGGGUACGGGCGGGCUUGAGUGCGGUAGGGGAGACUGGAAUUCCCGGUGUAACGGUGGAAUGUGUAGAUAUCGAGA
rnacentral:rRNA from 1 species